AUUUAACUCAAUUUGCCUGUUUAGCUGACUUCACUACUGUAAACUCUGAAACAGCAAGAUUCCUCCUGUGAUCGUAUCCCCACCCCCAAAUUUAAUUCUCUUUAUCUCAUCUACAGAAAUUUCCUCUGUGUUCUGAUACCACUUAGGAGCUUGUAGGGCUUCCCUUAUCUUUACUGUCUACUGUCCAGAUAUAUAUGGAAUCUAGUUGACUAUCCCCUGUGUCAGUAAAAGAAGCUAACUAAAUGGGAUCUCUGGGUCUGAAGAAUUAUUGAUUCCUAUGGCUUUCAUUUCUGCAAAAGGAGUAAACUUGAUUUUUUUUCUGUAUAUUAUGAAUAAAAUCUCAUUUUUGUAAUUUUUAUGAGAUGCUCUAAUACAUAUUUAAAUUGCUUUUCAUUUAUUCUUGGAUUCUAGAAUAAUAUGUUGGUAAGUACAAAACCAAACCAACAAAGAACCCCAAAGCCACUAGCCCUACACUGAUUACACAUAAAUACUGAACUCUAACGUUGCUCUGUGUUCCAAGGGGCCUGGGCUUCAUUUUUAAGAUUCAAGAAAAAAAAGCACAAAAAGGAGCCCAGCCCUUUCAAAAGAAGAAAUGAGGCUAAAGGUGGGGGAAGGCAGGGUUAAGCUAAAUCUCCAUGCUAGAGAAAGAGCGUGUGUAUUACAAGGAAGUGGUCUGUUCUAGCAGACAGUUGGGCGAUGAGGUUGAGGGAGAUGGAACAGUUGACUCAUGGCUCUGUCUUGCAUUUGGUUUGCUGCUAAGAGCCUGUAAAAUUCUUAACUAUUUCUGAGGGCUUUCUUAGCUCAGUAGUCACUGAGAGAAAUGAGCUGAGCUAAGGAGUAUAAGGGGAAACAGGCUCCCUGAAGGGUGACCCAAAGGGUGUCGCUUUCUGGGCACUGGUUUUAACUGGAUUGGAUGACAUUUGAGGAUUAAGUCAGUCUCCUGGAUAUCUCAUUAUUCAUGCAUUUGUUCCUUUUAGAAAUAGUUAUUGCAUACAUAGGGUUUUCAGAUGAUGUAAACCAAAACACCAGACUCACAAUAAAAAUUUAUAGACAAAAAUAAUCAAAUUCUAGUGAUAUGGAAAACUUAUUGAUGAUCAGUUAAAGAUGGUGGUUUCAACCUCUAUGUUUAUCUCUGUUCUCUCCAAACAUUCCAAUACAAUGAAAAUGGAUGAUUUUUUUUUAAAGCCACAAACGCAUAAGGACAAAGACUUGGAGUGGAGGAAACACCAAGGAAAAAUGGAAAGAUGGAAACCUGACGGAUGAGUGUGAGUUGGCUCAGCAGAUCAGUGAGGGAAAGGAUUCAUGAAUAUUCAAAGUACGUGGACGGUGGAAGGCAGAUGAAACCUGAGAUUUGAACACAGCCUCUUACAUCUGUUUUUAGAAAAGCCAGCCGGCAAUGCAGCUGAUAACAUACCUGCAGGUUCCAUUUGGGUCACAUAUCCAUCUCUGAGUCUGUCACUGGGAGAAUGGGAUGCUUUUUCUGGACUAGGCCUGACUUACGUACCCAUCUGGGACAAUAGGACUUGCUAUGGGGACAACUUCAUCUGUAUGUGGAUGGCGACUGAAGAAUGGAGGCUGGAGUGUGGUGGUGCAAUCAUGGUUCGCUACAAUCCUGACCUCCCGGGCCCAAGCCAUCCUCCUGCCUCAGCCUCUCAAGUAGCUGGGACUACAGAUCAUUUUUCACUGAAGAGAACAGGAAAGGUAAGGGAUGAUGGAAGCUGUACCUGGACUAUAAGGAAAAGACUCCUCGAUUGCACCUGUGAGAGGCCUUGACGCGGAGGACCCAGCUAAGGUACGUGCAGAGCAGUGAAAAAUUUGAAUGGCCUGAGAUACACGCUCCCUGCUGAGGUCGCACAAGAUGGCACGGAUAUUGCUGUUGGCGCAUAGGAUGUGAACAGUGGUGUUGAGAUCACCCUCAUUGGACUGAUGAUGCCAUUGAAACCCAGAGAUGAUUCACGCAGAGCUCGACUACCUCCGUGAGAAAUGACUCUCCUGUAGGGCUCGAUGACCUUCAUGUCAAUGCGCUGCUCUUGUUCUCCAAUCACCACUGUCCUCCACAGUCGGUUGUCCUCCCGUUCCUCUUCGGCCGUAUAUUCUGGAAUAGACUCUGACUCUUGGCCAGAAUCUUUGUUGGCUGUGGGAUCUUCUGGAAACAAAGCACAGAGCAGGGCUGAAGGAGCCAGACCUCCAUAGUGCAGGCAGCUAAACAGCCAGAUGAGACUGUGAGUCCCUUGGGCAAAGAAACUGUGCCUUGAAUCACCUUUAAUAUUCACUUCCACCAACCCGCUCCCUACUUAGCUUACAAACUUACUCAGAACACUCAAAAAAAAUCAGGAAGGUGAGUGAGUAAAUGAAGAAAAACUUGGAUAAUUUCCUGGAAAUGGAGGUAAUCUGUAAGGGAGCCACCACACCACCAUUAUGUUCUGGAAGAAUUUGCAAUUAUACCUUCAAAAUUGUCUAAUUACCAAUGACUUAGAUAGCAAAAUGAAGUUUGGUUGGGAAGCAAUCCUAGCCUUUUUUGCCAACACCAACAGCUACCACCACCUACAGAGCCUUGGGUCACUCUGGCUUCCACUGUGUUCCCACCAGCAUGCGGCAGUUUAUCAAGGAUAGAGAUGAUAAACCACUGGCUUCAGGUCAAGUGUCGUGUCCCUUGUGCAAAUCCACCCAUCUCUUUGGAAUCCCUUCCUGCUUCGUCCUUCCUACAUGGGGUAGAUCCCUGGGAUGCUAAUCAUCUUAGCUCCCUUCCUGGAACUCAAUUUCCCGUCUGGUCUCUACUCCCUCAGAACUCUGGAUUCUGAAGCAGGUUUGUAUUCUGAUGCUCUUGUACACAUCCCCCUUUCCCUCCAGUGAACUUUCCAUCCACCAGAUACUCUUCAUCCUGUUUGGUACCCUCUGACCUGCUCUAGCUUUACCCUGGUCAUCUCUGUGGGGUUAAGAUAGGGUUGUUUUGUUUCAUUUUCCGCAAAUUUUAUUAAAAUCCCCUUACGUAAAACAUUUUUGAUUGCGUGUGGUGGCUUAAGUCUGAAAUCCUAGCACUCGGAAGGCCAAGGCUGGUGGAUCACUUGAGCUCAGGGGUUCGAGACCAGUCCUGGGCAACAUGCAGAAACCCAGUCUCUACAAAAAAUACAAAAAUUAGCUGGAUAUGUUGGCAUGU